UACGUAGGGGGCAAGCGUUGUCCGGAAUCAUUGGGCGUAAAGAGCGUGUAGGCGGCCUGGUAAGUCCGCUGUGAAAGUCCAGGGCUCAACCCUGGAAUGCCGGUGGAAACUGUCAGGCUCGAGUCCGGAAGAGGCGAGUGGAAUUCCUGGUGUAGCGGUGAAAUGCGCAGAUAUCAGGAGGAACACCGAUUGCGAAGGCAGCUCGCUGGGACGUUACUGACGCUGAGACGCGAAAGCGUGGGGAGCAAACAGG
rnacentral:rRNA from 1 species